UUGACCAAGUUGGAGAUGAUC
rnacentral:miRNA from 1 species